rnacentral:lncRNA from 1 species
GCAACUAUGGUCGGCCAACCAUCUGCUGAAUUUCUGCAUCCAAGAAGAGGAAGCAACACAUAAUUCAGGCAUCUCGCAGUCGCAGGCAGUGUUGCUAUCAUCUUGUCGUAAAAUUCAUUCAGCAAACCGUGUCCGUGAAUUGGGGAGAAUGAAGAGAACUUCAUCCAAUACAUUUGAGGCCGUGAACACGAGCAGGUGAAAAAUUGAGCAACAACUUCCUACUGUAGUAUAGUGACCAAUCAAGGGCUCCGAACUUACCGGAAAAAAAGAAGGGCUCCGAACAAAUCGAACAGGGGAACUGGAUAUGUAUAUGGAAAAAACACAACCGAGUUUUGGGUGGGGAUAUGCCAAGAACUACUUCCAACGUACCGAACCUGAUAGAUAUAGCACAGUAGAGUGUGAACCUACCCUCACUGUUCCAUUAUCCAAAGCAGACCAAUGAAAUACCGCUGGUACGUACAGCUCCAGCACGGAAUACAGAGACGGCAAGCACAUAAAAGGAAAGCAGCAAGACGAAUCAAAGGACACAAGUGCACAGCCCAACCAAAAAGAGCAAAAAGCAGAGGAGGAUCAACCCAACCUUGA